rnacentral:rRNA from 1 species
UAGGGAAUCUUCCGCAAUGGACGAAAGUCUGACGGAGCAACGCCGCGUGAGUGAUGAAGGUUUUCGGAUCGUAAAACUCUGUUGUUAGGGAAGAACAAGUACAAGAGUAACUGCUUGUACCUUGACGGUACCUAACCAGAAAGCCACGGCUAACUACGUGCCAGCAGCCGCGGUAAUACGUAGGUGGCAAGCGUUGUCCGGAAUUAUUGGGCGUAAAGCGCGCGCAGGCGGUCCUUUAAGUCUGAUGUGAAAGUCCACGGCUCAACCGUGGAGGGUCAUUGGAAACUGGGGGACUUGAGUGCAGAAGAGAAGAGUGGAAUUCCACGUGUAGCGGUGAAAUGCGUAGAGAUGUGGAGGAACACCAGUGGCGAAGGCGACUCUUUGGUCUGUAACUGACGCUGAGGCGCGAAAGCGUGGGGAGCAAACAGGAUUAGAUACCCUGGUAGUCCACGCCGUAAACGAUGAGUGCUAAGUGUUAGAGGGUUUCCGCCCUUUAGUGCUGCAGCAAACGCAUUAAGCACUCCGCCUGGGGAGUACGGCUGCAAGGCUG